rnacentral:lncRNA from 1 species
GGACUUUCCAAUGCUAAGAACUGUUCAAACCUUUGCUUUCCUAACUGGUUCCCAUCCUUUCCAACUUUGCCUGAAGGCCCCAGAAGGGUAGGGCAGGAAGAGAAUGCAUAUUUACAGCUUUUGAACGCAGGCUUGGGGCUUUAUAAUCCAGUGGCCAUCGAAGAUGUAACUUGGUUGUCUUCUUGGAAACACUAGCAGUGAUUUUAUCAUUUAUUCCUGUGGGAGAUCUGGCUCCCUGCCAGCCAGGGACGGAGCUUUCUCUUACUUCCCAGCGUUGUACAGCCAGUGGUUUUAAAUGUGAUUGUUCUGAGGAUUCCUCUCUGCAGAGUUCAGUUACUCACCAAUCAUCACUGCCCAAGGAGGAUGCUUUUCUGAGAAAUAUUCUAGAUGACUUGAUUGAAGGAGGCUCCACUGUGAUCUGAGCCAGAUAUGUUUACCCUAAGAGGACUCACGCUUAUCAUCCAGCACAAUGGUGUCCUCUUACUAGAAUUAGCAUCUGCUGGAUCACUGACUGCAUUUCCACAGAACACAGAACAAAGCGGUUAAGAUCCAGGGCAUUGAGCCACGCCUUAAAUCGAAGCAUUGUCCACCUUCUAACCCCAAGCAGACACCAAGAGGGAGCCAACAACAGGGAUCCUGAGAGGCAAAGGGAGUCCAAGGAGCUAUGGGGAGAACUUUCCAUCUUUGGGGAUGAGAAUGUGAAGCAUCAAUUUAUGUGAAAACUACUGCUUGAUUAAAGACAAGAUUUUUGAAAGCCAUCCUGUAAAACACCCUGUCCCACACAUUGUUAAAGGUAAGAGGGCUAGACACAAUGCUGUCACUGCAAAAAAUUGAGUAUUUCAUAGUCUUCAUCUCAUAAUUAGUAUGGUAGUAAUCAAUAUGACUGAUAUAAAAAGAACUAGAUAUAAGUCUUUGUUUUUCUGACAUCUUGUAGAGUUUUUGUAAGGCAAUAUUAAAUAAAAAUGUGUAGGGUAAUGAUAUUGUAAGAUCCUUUGUUGGUAAAUGUGAAAAAUUUCAUAGAUAACUCUUAAUGAUUGAGCCCCCUCUUUGUACACUAUAGGAACAUAGAACCAAAUAAUACUACCGAUAAAUGUUUGUUGGAUUAAUAACUUCACAAAAGGAUACAACUUUUCUGGAGAGA